rnacentral:rRNA from 1 species
UACGGAGGGGGCGAGCGUUAUUCGGAAUUAUUGGGCGUAAAGGGCGCGUAGGCGGCUGUACAAGUCAAAGGUGAAAUCCCUCGGCUCAACUGAGGAACUGCCUUUGAAACUGUACGGCUUGAGGCCGGGAGGGGGUAGCGGAAUUCCCAGUGUAGCGGUGAAAUGCGUAGAUAUUGGGAGGAGCACCAGUGGCGAAGGCGGCUACCUGGACCGGUUCUGACGCUGAGGCGCGAAAGCGUGGGUAGCAAACAGG